rnacentral:rRNA from 1 species
UCCCGUUGAUCCUGCGGGAGGCUGCUGCUAUGAGGGUUCGACUAAGCCAUGCAAGUUCUGGGGUAGCAAUACACCGGCUAAAUGCUCAGCAACACGUCGUUAAUCUGCCUUUAGGUUGGGGAUAACCUUGGGAAACUGAGGCUAAUACCUGAUAGGGUGAUUCUUCUGGAAGGAUUUUCACUUUAAACUUCGGGCCUAAAGAUGAGACGGCGGCGGAUUAGGCUGUUGGCGGGGUAACGGCCCACCAAACCGAAGAUCCGUAGGGGCCUUGAGAGAGGUAACCCCGAGAAGGACACUGAGAUACUGGUCCUAGCCCUACGGGGUGCAGCAGGCGCGAAACCUUUACAAUGCACGAAAGUGUGAUAAGGGAACCCUUAGUGCUCAUGCAUUGCAUGGGCUUUUUGCCAAGUGUAAAUAGCUUGGCGAAUAAGAGGUGGGCAAGACUGGUGCCAGCCGCCGCGGUAACACCAGCGCCACAAGUGGGAGCCAGUAUUAUUGGGUCUAAAGCGUUCGUAGCCUGUUAAGUUAAUCUUUUGUGAAAUUGUCGUGCCCAACAUGACAGAGUGCAGAAGACACUGCUUGACUUGGGACCGGGAGGAGUUAGGAGUAUUCUUGGGGGAGCGGUAAAAUGCUAUAAUCCCUGGAAGACUACCUGCGGCGAAGGCGCCUAACCAGAACGGGUCCGACGGUGAGGAACGAAAGCUAGGGGAGCAAUCCGGAUUAGAUACCCGAGUAGUCCUAGCUGUAAACGCUGUGUGCUAGGUGUUGCGUAUUCUACAUGAAUACGCAGUGUCAAAGUGAAGACGUUAAGCACACCACCUGGGAAGUACGGUCGCAAGGCUGAAACUUAAAGGAAUUGGCGGGGGAGCACUACAAGGGGUGCGGCGUGCGGUUUAAUCUAAUUCAACACAGAAAAUCUCACCAGCAGCGACGGCAGGAUGAAAGUCUGAUUAAAGGUUUUACUUGACGAGCCGAGAGGUAGUGCAUGGCCGCCGUCAGCUUGUACCGUGAGGUGUCCUGUUAAGUCAGGCAACGAGCGAGACCUGUAUCUAUAAUUGCCAGCGGCUCUUUUGAGGACCGGGCACUUUAUGGGAACUGCCUUGGAAACAAGGAGGAAGGUGCAGGCUACGGUAGGUCUGUAUGCUCCGAAUCUGCUGGGCUACACGCGCGCAACAAUGGUAAGGACAAUGGGAUACAACUCCGAAAGGAGAAGUUAACCCUCUAAACCUUAUCUUAGUCCAGAUCGAGGAUUGUAACUCAUCCUCGUGACGAUGGAAUCCCUAGUAAUCGGACGUCAUCAGCGUCCGGUGAAUAUGUCCCUGCUCCUUGCACACACCGCCCGUCAAACCAACCGAGCAGGGUUUGGGUGAGCCUUAGCUAUUUUGGUUAAGCCGAAUCCAAGCUCAGUAAGGUGGGUUAAGUCGUCACAAGGUA